GGGCCCGUAGCUCAGUCUGGUAGAGCGCUUGGCUUUUAACCAAGUAGUCGCGGGUUCAAAUCCCGUCGGGCCCG
rnacentral:ncRNA from 16 species